rnacentral:rRNA from 1 species
UACGUAGGUGGCAAGCGUUGUUCGGAAUUAUUGGGCGUAAAGGGCGCGUAGGCGGUUUGUUAAGUCAGCUGUGAAAGCCCGGGGCUCAACCCCGGAGGGUCAGCUGAUACUGGCAGGCUAGAGUACAGAAGAGGUAACUGGAAUUCCCGGUGUAGCGGUGAAAUGCGUAGAGAUCCGGAGGAACACCAGUGGCGAAGGCGACACGCUGGGCCGUACCUGACACUGAUGCGCGACAGCAUGGGGAGCAAACAGG